rnacentral:rRNA from 1 species
UACGUAGGGAGCGAGCGUUGUCCGAAGUUACUGGGCGUAAAGCGCGCGUAGGCGGGCUAUUAAGUGAGAGGUGAAAUUCCAGGGCUCAACCCCGGAACUGCCUCUCAUACUGAUAGUCUCGAGUGAGGUAGAGAGAAGUGGAAUGGCUGGUGUAGCGGUGAAAUGCGUAGAUAUCAGUCGGAACACCGGUGGCGAAGGCGGCUUCUUGGGCCUUUACUGACGCUGAUGCGCGAAAGCCAGGGGAGCGAACGGG